UGUCAGGAUGGCCGAGUGGUCUAAGGCGCCAGACUCAAGUUCUGGUCUUCGAGAGAGGGCGUGGGUUCAAAUCCCACUUCUGACAUAC
rnacentral:tRNA from 1 species